rnacentral:rRNA from 1 species
UUCCAACCCCUGUGACAUACCACUUGUUGCCUCGGCGGAUCAGCCCGCUCCCGGUAAAACGGGACGGCCCGCCAGAGGACCCCUAAACUCUGUUUCUAUAUGUAACUUCUGAGUAAAACCAUAAAUAAAUCAAAACUUUCAACAACGGAUCUCUUGGUUCUGGCAUCGAUGAAGAACGCAGCAAAAUGCGAUAAGUAAUGUGAAUUGCAGAAUUCAGUGAAUCAUCGAAUCUUUGAACGCACAUUGCGCCCGCCAGUAUUCUGGCGGGCAUGCCUGUUCGAGCGUCAUUUCAACCCUCAAGCACAGCUUGGUGUUGGGACUCGCGUUAAUUCGCGUUCCUCAAAUUGAUUGGCGGUCACGUCGAGCUUCCAUAGCGUAGUAGUAAAACCCUCGUUACUGGUAAUCGUCGCGGCCACGCCGUUAAACCCCAACUUCUGAAUGUUGACCUCGGAUCAGGUAGGAAUACCCGCUGAACUUAAGCAUAUCAAUAAGCGGAGGA